GUUGAACGCUGGCGGCAUGCCUUACACAUGCAAGUCGAACGGCAGCACGGGAGCAAUCCUGGUGGCGAGUGGCGAACGGGUGAGUAAUAUAUCGGAACGUGCCCAGUCGUGGGGGAUAACGUAGCGAAAGCUACGCUAAUACCGCAUACGAUCUAUGGAUGAAAGCGGGGGAUCGCAAGACCUCGCGCGAUUGGAGCGGCCGAUAUCAGAUUAGCUAGUUGGUGGGGUAAAGGCCCACCAAGGCGACGAUCUGUAGCUGGUCUGAGAGGACGACCAGCCACACUGGAACUGAGACACGGUCCAGACUCCUACGGGAGGCAGCAGUGGGGAAUUUUGGACAAUGGGCGCAAGCCUGAUCCAGCAAUGCCGCGUGCAGGACGAAGGCCUUCGGGUUGUAAACUGCUUUUGCAGGGAAGAGGAAGGACGGUACCCUGCGAAUAAGUCACGGCUAACUACGUGCCAGCAGCCGCGGUAAU
rnacentral:rRNA from 1 species